UACGGAGGAUCCUAGUGUUAUCCGGAUUUAUUGGUUUAAAGGGAGCGUAGGCGGGAGGUCAAGUCAGCUGUGAAAUGUAUCUGCUUAACGGGUACACUGCAGUUGAAACUGGUUUUCUUGAGUGCGUAAGAGGCAGGCGGAAUUCGUUGUGUAGCGGUGAAAUGCUUAGAUAUGACGAGGAACUCCUAUUGCGAAGGCAGCUUGCUGGGUCGUUACUGACGCUGAUGCUCGAAGGUGCGGGGAUCAAACAGGAUUAGAUA
rnacentral:rRNA from 1 species